CCAAUAGCGUAUAUUAAAGUUGCUGCAGUUAAAAAGCUCGUAGUUGAAUUUCGGGAUCAAUAUGUUGGUCGUGCCUUGGUACGUACUAGCUUAUUGAUUUCUCCCUUCUGACGAACCAUGAUGUCAUUAAUUUGGUGUCAUGGGGAAUUAGGACUGUUACUUUGAAAAAAUUAAAGUGUUUAAAGCAGGCUCACGCUUGAAUACAUUAGCAUGGAAUAAU
rnacentral:rRNA from 1 species